rnacentral:rRNA from 1 species
AGCGGUGUCCGGAAUCAUUGGGCGUAAAGCGCGUGUAGGCGGUCCGGUAAGUCCGCUGUGAAAGUCGGGGGCUCAACCCUCGAAUGCCGGUGGAUACUGUCGGGCUAGAGUGCGGAAGAGGCGAGUGGAAUUCCUGGUGUAGCGGUGAAAUGCGCAGAUAUCAGGAGGAACACCAAUUGCGAAGGCAGCUCGCUGGGACGUUACUGACGCUGAGACGCGAAAGCGUGGGGAGCAAACAGG